rnacentral:miRNA from 1 species
GAUUAUGAACAGAAAGAAAGGAUUAUUGUAGCCUCAAAUUAGGUGCCUAUGUGGUAUUUGAGCUUAGUUAGGGAACUAAUUUUGAGGCUACAAUAAUCCUUUCUUUCUUUUCAUGAUCUUAAGAU